rnacentral:rRNA from 1 species
CUUGGCCAUAAUAUUCAGAACGAGUUAAUUUCCCGUCUUGCUUGCAGUGUUAAAGAUUCUCUCUUGAAGAUAAUUAAGGAUGCAAGGUAUUUCUCUGUCAUUUUAGACUGUACCCCUGAUGUGAGCCAUCAAGAACAAAUGACUCUAAUUGUGAGAUGUGUAAACAUGUCAAGUGCCAGUACAAAAAUAGAGGAGUUUUUUCUAGAGUUCAUGAAGGUCGACUAUACGUCGGGACUUGGACUUUAUAAUGUGUUAAUUGAUACACUUGAAUAUGUUGGUUUGAAUGUUCAAGAUGUUCGUGGACAAGGGUAUGACAAUGGUUCGAACAUGAAGGGAAAAAACCAAGGGGUACAGAGCAGAUUGCUAGCAACUAAUCCAAGAGCAUUGUACAUGUCGUGUGCUUGUCACAGCCUGAAUCUUACUCUCAGUGAUAUGGAAAAAUCUUGCGAUAAAGCUAUAACUUUCUUUGGUGUUGUGCAAAGAAUUUACAUAUUGUUUUCAAGCUCUACUAAAAGAUGGCAGCUAUUGCUUGAUCAUGUUCCAAAAAUGACAGUUAAGUCUUUGUGUAAGACUCGAUGGGAGAGUCGAAUAAAGAGUGUUCAUGCUACCAGAUAUCAAGCACCUGAGUUAAUAAAAGCUUUAUUGGAAUUGAAGAGAACUUCUACUGAUGACGCCAAGACU